CGGAGAGAGCUGAGCUUUGCAGUUUGAUGAUUAAUUGCGUUAAUUCCUCUCAUGUUACGGGUGUUGUUCGUCUAUUCAGAGCUCAAGUGAAGAGUUUACUGAAGGACAGCGAGAACAUGAGUGAUCCAGAACCCUGCAGAAUUAAACAUGAAGAUACUGAACAACAAAUAGACCUAAUUGAAGAAAAUGUGGUGAGUAAAGAGGAGGAACAUCAUAUCAAAGUUGAAGAAAAAAAUCAUUUACAGACUUACGGUAUUUUAAAAACGAGAGACAAGAGUCAUUUCACCUGCAGUCACUGUGGAAAGAGUUGUAGAGGAAAAGGCAAUCUUAAGAUUCACAUGAGGAUCCACACUGGAGAGAAACC